AAAAUUUCGGUAGGUGAGGUUACCAUAGGGAUACGGGUUGCUGCCGCAGGUUAGUGGAGACACUAUGAGUUGGUUAGCAGAGGACGUCGAAAGUUAAGGCGUACUUUAAUGCAAUUACAUUGCCCUAUGAAGCUAAAGCUUGGACGGUUU
rnacentral:sRNA from 1 species